UCGAGAAUUUCCGGGGAGAAACAAACAGAUGUUUUAAUAAUAAUGACCUAAUAUUUGUCACCGGUGCUAAAGAAGUUCUUACGGGAGCUGUCCGAUCCGAUCAUUCUGGUUAUGUUUUACGACAAAUUCGUCGUAAGCCUCAAUGAUGCGUAGCAAUCCGAUUGCAUAUCCAGGAUCUGCCAAUUUACCACAACAUGACGCUCAAGUAUAUUAUGAUACAUCUGAUACGAAUAUGUCAAAUACAGUACCAGGGGGAACUGAGAGAGGAACCGACAAUACUGAUGCAAGUGUGGUGCCAUAUUCUAAUGUGUCCUUCUAGGGAGAAAACUUUUCAAAACUUGUAUAACACGGAAAACCACUUGGGAAUAAUGGAACUGUUGCUCUAUAAGCUGGACUGGAACAAAAAACUACCAGAAUUUCUGUCUGCUCCUGCGGUACCACAACGGAAAAUCUCCCGAAGAACGGCUGUGUUACAGCAGCAGUAGCAGUAACAACAAAUUCCCGGUUAAUCCACUGUUUUACCAGCAGAAUAGGCUGCUUUAAAAAGUCUGCGAUAACAUCCCCGGCAUCUGUGAUACAAGCGUCCUUGGUUGGGGUGUAUAAUAAUGCCGGUAGAAAUAGUAGUAAUGGAAUAGUGGCUGCCGAAAGUCGGGGGACAGCGUUGAUACGAGCAGUUGAUGAUGCAAACACCAACUGAUCUGACGAAUCAAAUCGACCGGUUCCUUC